UACGUAGGGUGCGAGCGUUAAUCGGAAUUACUGGGCGUAAAGCGUGCGCAGGCGGUUUUGUAAGCCAGAUGUGAAAUCCCCGGGCUUAACCUGGGAAUGGCAUUUGGGACUGCAAGGCUGGAGUGUGGCAGAGGAGACUGGAAUUCCUGGUGUAGCAGUGAAAUGCGUAGAUAUCAGGAGGAACACCAAUGGCGAAGGCAGCUCGCUGGGACGGUACUGACGCUGAGGCGCGAAAGCGUGGGGAGCAAACAGG
rnacentral:rRNA from 1 species